rnacentral:rRNA from 1 species
AGAUUGAACGCUGGCGGCAUGCCUAACACAUGCAAGUCGAACGGGAGUAGCAAUACUCUAGUGGCGGACGGGUGAGGAAUACGUAGGAAUUUGCCCUUAAGUGGGGGAUAACCCGGGGAAACCCGGAUUAAUACCGCAUGACCUCGAAAGAGCAAAGUGGGGGAUCGCAAGACCUCACGCUUUUGGAGAAGCCUACGUCGGAUUAGCUAGUUGGUGAGGUAAUGGCUCACCAAGGCGACGAUCCGUAACUGGUCUGAGAGGAUGAUCAGUCACACCGGAACUGAGACACGGUCCGGACUCCUACGGGAGCAGCAGUGGGAAUAUUGGACAAGUGGGCGCAAGCCUGAUCCAGCAAUGCCGCGUGUGUGAAGAAGGCCGUUCGGUUAGUAAAGCGUAACUUUAAGGUUAGGGAAAGAAAAAACUACGACGUUACUAACACGAGUAGAGUC